rnacentral:rRNA from 1 species
UACGUAGGCAGCAAGCGUUGUUCGGAAUUACUGGGCGUAAAGGGCUCGUAGGCGGCCAACUAAGUCAGACGUGAAAUCCCUCGGCUUAACCGGGGAACGGGCGGCGAUACGACCGUCCUGGAGGGGCGUAGGGGGACCUGGAACUUCCGGUGGAGCGGUGAAAUGCGUUGAGAUCGGAAGGAACGCCCGUGGCGAAAGCGAGGUCCUGGACGCCUACUGACGCUGAGACACGAAAGCCAGGGGAGCGAACGGG